UAACAAACCAGCUUGUUGUUCAGCUAAAGCUCAUUUCAGCCAACUGAAUUCCAGAGCUUCCAACCAUCCCAGAGUUUAAUUAUGGGGCUGAGCGUCAUUCAGCAGUGCAUUUUUAUACUCAUGUUAGCACAAGGUUUUUACAGUGAUGAGAUCAGAAUGGACCAGUCUCCUGCUGUGGUGAAGAAACCUGGAGAAUCUGUGAAGAUCUCUUGUAAAAUUAAUGGCUUUGAUAUGACUGACUACUUCAUCCACUGGAUACGACAGAAACCAGGGAAAGCUCUGGAAUGGAUUGGUAGGAUGAACGCAGGUAGUAAUGAUGCAACAUAUGCAGAGUCUUUGAAAAACCAGUUCGUUUUAACAGAAGACGUCUCAGCAAGCACACAGUACUUAGAGGCCAAGAGUCUGAGGACAGAGGACACUGCGGUUUAUUACUGCGCCCGACAAGCCACAGUGACUGCAACUGAGGAAGCAGCUGUACAAAAACCACACACACAUUUUUCACACAGCAUUUUAUUGAACAAGUCUUUACUGUUCAUUCGAACACAAGAUGAAUAAUCACCCUCUUUCUGUGGAUUAUUAAUUGCUCAUGUAUUUACAAUUACUUUUAUUACAAACCAGAAACAAAUAAUGUGUUUUAUA